rnacentral:rRNA from 1 species
UACGAAGGGGGCUAGCGUUGCUCGGAAUGACUGGGCGUAAAGGGCGCGUAGGCGGUUCGUACAGUCAGACGUGAAAUUCCCGGGCUCAACCUGGGGACUGCGUUUGAUACGUACGGGCUUGAGUUCGGAAGAGGGUCGUGGAAUUCCCAGUGUAGAGGUGAAAUUCGUAGAUAUUGGGAAGAACACCGGUGGCGAAGGCGGCGACCUGGUCCGAUGACUGACGCUGAGGCGCGAAAGCGUGGGGAGCAAACAGG